ACGCUGGCGGCGUGCUUAACACAUGCAAGUCGAACGGAAAGGCCCUGCUUUUGUGGGGUGCUCGAGUGGCGAACGGGUGAGUAACACGUGAGUAACCUGCCCUUGACUUUGGGAUAACUUCAGGAAACUGGGGCUAAUACCGGAUAGGAGCUCCUGCUGCAUGGUGGGGGUUGGAAAGUUUCGGCGGUUGGGGAUGGACUCGCGGCUUAUCAGCUUGUUGGUGGGGUAGUGGCUUACCAAGGCUUUGACGGGUAGCCGGCCUGAGAGGGUGACCGGCCACAUUGGGACUGAGAUACGGCCCAGACUCCUACGGGAGGCAGCAGUGGGGAAUAUUGCACAAUGGGCGGAAGCCUGAUGCAGCAACGCCGCGUGCGGGAUGACGGCCUUCGGGUUGUAAACCGCUUUCGCCUGUGACGAAGCGUGAGUGACGGUAAUGGGUAAAGAAGCACCGGCUAACUACGUGCCAGCAGCCGCGGUGAUACGUAGGGUGCGAGCGUUGUCCGGAUUUAUUGGGCGUAAAGGGCUCGUAGGUGGUCGAUCGCGUCGGAAGUGUAAUCUUGGGGCUUAACCCUGAGCGUGCUUUCGAUACGGGUUGACUUGAGGAAGGUAGGGGAGAAUGGAAUUCCUGGUGGAGCGGUGGAAUGCGCAGAUAUCAGGAGGAACACCAGUGGCGAAGGCGGUUCUCUGGGCCUUUCCUGACGCUGAGGAGCGAAAGCGUGGGGAGCGAACAGGCUUAGAUACCCCUGGUAGUCCACGCUGUAAACGGUGGGUACUAGGUGUGGGGUCCAUUCCACGGGUUCCGUGCCGUAGCUAACGCUUUAAGUACCCCGCCUGGGGAGUACGGCCGCAAGGCUAAAACUCAAAGGAAUUGACGGGGCCCCGCACAAGCGGCGGAGCAUGCGGAUUAAUUCGAUGCAACGCGUAGAACCUUACCUGGGUUUGACAUGGAUCGGGAGUGCUCAGAGAUGGGUGUGCCUCUUUUGGGGUCGGUUCACAGGUGGUGCAUGGCUGUCGUCAGCUCGUGUCGUGAGAUGUUGGGUUAAGUCCCGCAACGAGCGCAACCCUUGUUCACUGUUGCCAGCACGUUAUGGUGGGGACUCAGUGGAGACCGCCGGGGUCAACUCGGAGGAAGGUGGGGAUGACGUCAAGUCAUCAUGCCCCUUAUGUCCAGGGCUUCACGCAUGCUACAAUGGCUGGUACAGAGAGUGGCGAGCCUGUGAGGGUGAGCGAAUCUCGGAAAGCCGGUCUCAGUUCGGAUUGGGGUCUGCAACUCGACCUCAUGAAGUCGGAGUCGCUAGUAAUCGCAGAUCAGCAACGCUGCGGUGAAUACGUUCCCGGGGCUUGUACACACCGCCCGUCAAGUCAUGAAAGUUGGUAACACCCGAAGCCGGUGGCCUAACCGUUGUGGGGGAGCCGUCGAAGGUGGGACUGGUGAUUAGGA
rnacentral:rRNA from 1 species